CCUACGGGUGGCAGCAGUGGGGAAUAUUGCACAAUGGGCGCAAGCCUGAUGCAGCCAUGCCGCGUGUGUGAAGAAGGCCUUCGGGUUGUAAAGCACUUUCAGCGGGGAGGAAGGCGUUAAGGUUAAUAACCUUGGCGAUUGACGUUACCCGCAGAAGAAGCACCGGCUAACUCCGUGCCAGCAGCCGCGGUAAUUCGGAGGUUGCAAGCGUUAAUCGGAAUUACUGGGCGUAAAGCGCACGCAGGCGGUCUGUCAAGUCGGAUGUGAAAUCCCCGGGCUCAACCUGGGAACUGCAUUCGAAACUGGCAGGCUAGAGUCUUGUAGAGGGGGGUAGAAUUCCAGGUGUAGCGGUGAAAUGCGUAGAGAUCUGGAGGAAUACCGGUGGCGAAGGCGGCCCCCUGGACAAAGACUGACGCUCAGGUGCGAAAGCGUGGGGAGCAAACAGGAUUAGAUACCCGGGUAGUC
rnacentral:rRNA from 1 species